GCUACAGUAAUUGAUGUUGAAAAACUGAUGCUACCAAUCACUCCUCACUUGAUUAUUCAAGCAGUUCCUAAGAUAAAAACAAAUCUGGUGUUAAAACACCAGUCUUUGUUUAUUAGCAAUUUUACUGGGCGUAUGGAACUGGAAACUCCCAAAUUGUGAUGGACCUGGAAUGCGACACCAGUUAC